GACGAACGCUGGCGGCGUGCUUAACACAUGCAAGUCGAACGGAAAGGCCCUGCUUGCAGGGUACUCGAGUGGCGAACGGGUGAGUAACACGUGGGUGAUCUGCCCUGCACUUCGGGAUAAGCCUGGGAAACUGGGUCUAAUACCGGAUGGGAGCCAUUUUUAGUGGGAUGGUUGGAAAGUUUUUUCGGUGUAGGAUGAGCUCGCGGCCUAUCAGCUUGUUGGUGGGGUAAUGGCCUACCAAGGCGGCGACGGGUAGCCGGCCUGAGAGGGUGGACGGCCACAUUGGGACUGAGAUACGGCCCAGACUCCUACGGGAGGCAGCAGUGGGGAAUAUUGCACAAUGGGCGCAAGCCUGAUGCAGCGACGCCGCGUGGGGGAUGACGGCCUUCGGGUUGUAAACUCCUUUCGCUAGGGACGAAGCUUUUUGUGACGGUACCUAGAUAAGAAGCACCGGCUAACUACGUG
rnacentral:rRNA from 1 species